AUUACCAGGCCUCUACAGAGCUGAAUGGCUGCUGAUGAGGGAGUUCAGUCAUUUGAUGGAGGUGUGUUGGACCAGGGAUGUAUUUCAAAGUUUGCUAGAUGUUGAUCAUGGAAUGGGGGCCCUCUGUUGCCAUGUUCCCCAUGUUACACACAGGAACAUCCUUGAAUCAGGUCUUUGGGAAGCUUACAGUCUGCUGUAACUCCUGUUCAAAACUGAUCGAGACAAUAAACUCCAGGAAAUAUGCCAAUAACUGUUGGAGUUAACAUGCUUACUUUGUAACAUUACCAAGUACUAAGUAAUGACUUAAUUCCUUAAUAUAAUCUCAUGAAUGUAGGUGUUUUGGUUUUCAUGUGUUGCUUAGUGUGUUUUCUAAAACUAUUAGAAAUCUGCAAAAAAAAAAAAAAGCUUAAAGAGCAACAAACUGGUGUAUGAUGUUACUUGUUUUCUAUGCUCAAACUUUAUGUAAUAUCAGUGGUACAAAUGUCUGUCGCAUCUAUAUUAUAAUAAAAAUCACAGAAAAAUCAUUUAUUAGCAGACAACUGUAAUCUAUUGCCUUGUAUUAUUUAACAGACUUGGAAUUAUUAACAAGGGAUGUAUUUCAAAGUUUGCUAGAUGUUGAUCAUGGACUUGGCUCCCUUCACACUGGAAGAAAAUGAAAGUAAAAGCUGAGUAGUUUGGAUGAGUUUACAGGAAACAUGACUGAGCUGAACGGUUGUUACUGAGAAUCUGUGAUUAAAUUCAAAAUAAUUUAAAAAAGUAACUAUCAUGGGGCCCUCUGUUGCCAUGUUCCCCAUGUUACACACAGGAGCAUAUUUGGAUUGGGUCUUUAGAUGGGAAGCUUACAGUCUGCUGUAACUCCUGUUCAAACCUGAUGAAGACAACAAACUCCAGGGUAAUUUUCAAUAACUGCUGGAGUUAACAUGCUUACUUUGUAUCAUACAGUAAUGACUUUAUUCAUUAAUAUAAUCUUAUGAAUCUUGGUGUUUUUGUUAUCAUGUGUUGCUUAGAGUGUUUUGUUAAGUGACAGCAAAACAAUCACAAAAAAAUCUAUUAGAAAUCAGCAACAAAUAAAGCUUGAGCAGCAACAAACUGGUGUAUCACAUCUUGCUUACAUACACACACACUUUAUGUAAUAUCAGUGGUACAAAUAUCUGUUGCAUCUGUAUCAUAAUAAAAUUCCCAUUAUAUCACAAGUCUUUCAAGAAAAAGAGCUAUUGUCUAUAUUAUUUAACAGACUUAAAAAUAUAUUUGUCCGAUGAUCAGGAUGUUUUUGUUUUUUUCUGCCUACUGUGUUGAACAACUUGUAACAUGGCAUUGUAUAGUCCGUUUAUUUUUUAUUUUUCUAUUUUGGUAUGCCAUGUAUAACAAA